rnacentral:rRNA from 1 species
UACGUAGGGGGCUAGCGUUGUCCGGAAUCAUUGGGCGUAAAGAGCGUGUAGGCGGUCCGGUAAGUCCGCUGUGAAAGUCGGGGGCUCAACCCUGGAAAGCCGGUGGAUACUGUCGGGCUAGAGUCCGGAAGAGGCGAGUGGAAUUCCUGGUGUAGCGGUGAAAUGCGCAGAUAUCAGGAGGAACACCGAUGGCGAAGGCAGCUCGCUGGGACGGUACUGACGCUGAGGCGCGAAAGCGUGGGGAGCAAACAGG